GCGCUUGCCUCGGCAGCACAUAUACUAAAAACUGAAAUGAUACGAAGAUUAGCCUGGCUGCUGCACAAGGGUGACAUGCAGAUUUGUGAAGCUUCCAGAUUUUU
ensembl:snRNA U6 U6 spliceosomal RNA